rnacentral:lncRNA from 1 species
AUCUGAAUGUUGUAACAGCGGUAAACGCGAUGGCGGCAGCUGAAAUUCAGAACCAAACAUACGACGUCAUACACUGCCUAUUACAAAAUGAACUAUAUUUUGAUAUGGUGGAGCCUGAUGGUGCUGAAGAUGAGAACUCAUUUGACCCUGUAAAAAUAGCCUCAAAGCUCAGGGAACUGGGUGAUGAUUAUGAUGAGAGAGUGAUCCAGCCAUUGAUGAAGAAUGUACAGAAAGCUGCAGCCGAUCAGGUGGUGACUGCCUUCAGUGAUAGUGUGGACAGCUUGUGUAAGAUGUGGGUUGUGGAAAGAACAGAAGUGGCCUCAGAGAAGCAGCUUCUCAAGGCCGCCAUCACACUGGGACUCUUUAUGAAGAAAAACUGCCCUGACAUGACGAAUGUAGUUGAGAGCGCUAUGAUGGGAUUCGUCAACAACCGUCUAACAUACUGGAUUGCAGAGCAAGGUGGCUGGGUGAGGAUUCUUUUAUCAGAUUUACAUUAACUGCUUCUUUUUGUAGGAAACUUAGUAACGAAAACCAAGAGAUUUGGGUAUGUCUCCAGCAAGGAUAAGUGACUUUCAAAC